UCUCCGGCCGCGCCGUCCAACAGGCCUUCCCCGCCGCGGCCGUCCUCCUGAAGCUUGUCCACGAUCAUGCUCGCGGGCAGACCACGCGUCGCUCCCGGCUCCAGAUGCGCUCCCCUGCCGACCUGGCACGAACUCCCCAAACUGGAACUGGGUAGGGCAGUUUGCAGUGGCGACGGCUGAGACAGCCAACUCGACUUUCUCUCCUGCUGUCUGGCGGCCCUUGCUAAGGGAAGUCAAGCCCACAAAGCUGUCCGCGCCACUCCACCUCUCCCUGCAGCCUUAGGAGCCCUGAGCAAGUCCGGCCCUCCCUUCUGCCAGGUCGGCCAGGAACUCAUUCCGGGGAACAUCCAUUAAGCUUCUGCUCUGUGCGGGGUUCCGCGUCGCCCGGGCUGGGAAUGUGCUGAACCCUCUUUACCUCUGACUCUUAGUUUUAUUGAUUUCCCAAGUUUCAGUUCAACUCCCAUCUUUAACAGGACCCAUUUUCUCAGUACCCCACCCGCACUCCCCAUGCUAGGGCCUUCCUCACUGAGAUUAGCUCGCCUACUCCCCACCCUGGAUUAUCCAUUUACUAUUCUAUAAAUACUGUAUUUAUUUAAUUGUUA